UACGUAGGGAGCAAGCGUUGUCCGGAAUCAUUGGGCGUAAAGCGCGCGUAGGUGGCCAGGUAGGUCGGUUGUGAAAACUGGAGGCUCAACCUUCAGAGGUCGACCGAAACCAUCUGGCUAGAGUCCGGGAGAGGAGAGUGGAAUUCCUGGUGUAGCGGUGAAAUGCGCAGAUAUCAGGAAGAACACCCGUGGCGAAAGCGGCUCUCUGGAACGGUACUGACGCUGAGACGCGAAAGCGUGGGGAGCGAACAGG
rnacentral:rRNA from 1 species